AACGUACGCUGGCGGCACGCCUAACACAUGCAAGUCGAACGAAGUAGCAAUACUUAGUGGCAGACGGGUGAGUAACAUGUAGGUAUCUGCCCUAUGGCCUGGAAUAACACGAGGAAACUUGUGCUAAUACCGGAUAAGUCUUUACGGAGAAAGCUUUAUGCACCAUUGGAUGAGCCUGCACUUGAUUAGUUUGUUGGUGGGGUAAUGGCCUACCAAGACUGUGAUCAAUAGCUGAUUUGAGAGGAUGAUCAGCCACAUUGGGACUGAGACACGGCCCAAACUCCUACGGGAGGCAGCAGUGGGGAAUCUUGCACAAUGGAGGAAACUCUGAUGCAGCGAUGCCGCGUGAGUGAAGAAGGCCCUUGGGUUGUAAAGCUCUUUCGUCGGGGAAGAAAAUGACUGUACCCGAAUAAGAAGGUCCGGCUAACUUCGUGCCAGCAGCCGCGGUAAUACGAAGGGACCUAGCGUAGUUCGGAAUUACUGGGCUUAAAGAGUUCGUAGGUGGUUGAAAAAGUUAGUGGUGAAAUCCCAGAGCUUAACUCUGGAACUGCCAUUAAAACUUUUCAGCUAGAGUAUGAUAGAGGAAAGCAGAAUUUCUAGUGUAGAGGUGAAAUUCGUAGAUAUUAGAAAGAAUACCAAUUGCGAAGGCAGCUUUCUGGAUCAUUACUGACACUGAGGAACGAAAGCAUGGGUAGCGAAGAGGAUUAGAUACCCUCGUAGUCCAUGCCGUAAACGAUGUGUGUUAGACGUUGGAAAUUUAUUUUCAGUGUCGCAGGGAAACCGAUAAACACACCGCCUGGGGAGUACGACCGCAAGGUUAAAACUCAAAUGAAUUGACGGGGACCCGCACAAGUAGUGGAGCAUGUGGUUUAAUUCGAAGAUACGCGCAGAACCUUACCAACACUUGACAUGUUCGUCGCAACUCUAAGAGAUUAGAGUUUUCGGUUCGGCCGGACGAAACACAGGUGCUGCAUGGCUGUCGUCAGCUCGUGUCGUGAGAUGUUGGGUUAAGUCCCGCAACGAGCGCAACCCUCACUUUUAGUUGCCAUCAUUAAGUUGGGCACUCUGAAAGAACUGCCAGUGAUAAGCUGGAGGAAGGUGGGGAUGACGUCAAGUCCUCAUGGCCCUUACGUGUUGGGCUACACACGUGCUACAAUGGUAUCUACAACAGGAAGCAAGACUGCGAAGUUAAGCAAAUCCCUAAAAGAUACCUCAGUUCGGAUUGCACUCUGCAACUCGAGUGCAUGAAGCUGGAAUUACUAGUAAUCGUGGAUCAGCGUGCCACGGUGAAUGCGUUCCCGGGUCU
rnacentral:rRNA from 1 species